rnacentral:rRNA from 1 species
UACGUAGGGUGCAAGCGUUGUCCGGAAUUAUUGGGCGUAAAGAGCUCGUAGGCGGUUUGUCGCGUCUGCUGUGAAAACUCAGGGCUUAACCCUGAGCCUGCAGUGGGUACGGGCAGACUAGAGUGUGGUAGGGGAGAUCGGAAUUCCGGGUGUAGUGGUGGAAUGCGUAGAUAAUCAGGAGGAACACCGGUGGCGAAGGCGGCUCUCUGGACCACAACUGACGCUGAGGCGCGAAAGCUAGGGGAGCAAACAGG